rnacentral:rRNA from 1 species
GUGAGGAAUAUUGGUCAAUGGGCGAGAGCCUGAACCAGCCAAGUCGCGUGAAGGAAGAAGGAUCUAUGGUUCGUAAACUUCUUUUGCAGGGGAAUAAAGUGCAGGACGUGUUCUGUUUUGUAUGUACCCUGAGAAUAAGGAUCGGCUAACUCCGUGCCAGCAGCCGCGGUAAUACGGAGGAUCCGAGCGUUAUCCGGAUUUAUUGGGUUUAAAGGGUGCGUAGGUGGUUUGAUAAGUCAGCGGUGAAAGUUUGCAGCUUAACUGUAAAAAUGCCGUUGAAACUGUCGGACUUGAGUGUAAAUGAGGUAGGCGGAAUGCGUGGUGUAGCGGUGAAAUGCAUAGAUAUCACGCAGAACUCCGAUUGCGAAGGCAGCUUACUAUGCUACAACUGACACUGAAGCACGAAAGCGUGGGGAUCAAACAGGAUUAGAAACCCCUGUAGUCC